AACCGCGUAGCUCAGUUGGCAGAGCAUUGGGCUAGUAUUCCAAAGGUCGUAGGUUCGAUUCCCACUGUGGUCA
rnacentral:tRNA from 1 species